rnacentral:lncRNA from 1 species
GUGCUCUUCCGAUAUGGAAGACUUUCUUUUCUAUCUGCAUUAGUAAUCAUAGGUGGGUGACCAAAAUAACCUUUUGCACCUGCUUUAAACACUGUUUCUUAGGCUCUCUGAGCUCUUUAUUAUUCAGGAUUCUCAGCAGA